GAUGAACGCUGGCGGUGUGCCUAAUACAUGCAAGUCGAGCGAACAGACAGUGAGCGUGCGCCUUUACCGUUAGCGGCUGACGGGUGGGUAACGCGUAGGUAAGCUACCUCUAUUUCGUGGGUGACUUCGUGAAACCGGUGCUGCUACUGGCGCAUAUUUCCUACGGGUGGAUUCAAUAGUUAAAGGUGCCUUUGGUGAUAGUUUGAGAUGGAGCUGCGCCGGAUUAGCUAGUUGGUAAGGUAACGGCUCACCAAGGCAACGAUACGUAGCCGACCUGAGAGGGUGAUCGGCCACACUGGAACUGAGACACGGUCCAGACUCCUACGGGAGGCAGCAGUAGGGAAUAUUCGGCAAUGGGCGAAAGCCUGACGCAGCAACGCCGCGUGAGUGAUGAAGGCCUUCGGAUUGUAAAACCCUUUUAUUAGGAAAGAAAAACAGUGUAAUAAAAUGCCGACGUUCUGACGGUACCUAAUGAGAAAGCAACGGCUAACUACGUG
rnacentral:rRNA from 1 species